ensembl:lncRNA
CUCUGUCACUGCUUUCGAUCCCUUUUUACUCCCUCUCGGGUUGCUAUGGUACCUAAUGUGUUUGGGAGUGGUCGGAAAUUGAGAACAGGCAGGUUUAUAGGCACCUGGGGUCCUCAUGCCGGGAGCGAUACACUGUAGUUAGCUGCUAACGUGUCAGAGUGCAGCAGUGUUUCGGGGUGCUGUUUGUAGCGCAAGGGGCUGCAGAGUGUUUGCCAACGGCGUUAUUGUUUGUUUGUGUGCAUGCUUCCGAAACAACACGUUUGGAAUGCCUAGACUGACGAGCACAGAGGAGUGCUCUGUGACCCUGGGGAGAUUGUGAAGUGCCGGAACACGGUCUGCUCACCCAAUCGCUAGAUUGUAGGCAGAGGCUGCCAAAAUACGAUUGUCGGCUGCUGUUCUCUUGAAUGUGUGUAGAGGUGUAAAUGUGUAUGAAUGUACAGGUGCUGUGUUUUUUUGGUUAGACACGUUUCCAAUUUGUUUUUUUUCUUUAUAUUUUUUUUUCCCCUUUUCCCGCUACCCGGUGGGUUGUGAAAGAUUGGUGUUCGUGAACUGAUUGUGACCACCGGCUAGCGGUUUCUUUUCUUUUUUUUGUUGUUGUUUGUUCCUUCCCCCUCCCUAGUCAUAGUCUUGGGGUGGAUUGGGCCAUAGGAUAGACAAGCUUAUCAGGUUCUAGUCUGGUUUCCUUAGUGUUUCACCCGUUUUGAACUGAUGUGUGCAGUGUAGUGCUGUGAUGUGUGCAUCAAGGGGUAGUCUGGUUUCCUUAGUGUUUCACCCGUUUUGAACUGAUGUGUGCAGUGUAGUGCUGUGAUGUGUGCAUCAAGGGGUAGGCUGAGUUUGUAGUGUUUGUUCUACCAUAAAAGUGGUGUGCUUUAGUUCACUUGUGGUAUUGAAACCUAGGCUUGGUCCAGCUUGUAACCCGGGGCCCGCCCUCCUAUGACUUAUCCCUAUGUCAAAUUAUGUAUUUGUUAUUUAUUGACAACCAAAAGCGACUGAAUUUUAAUUAAAGAUAAAAUAAAGAUUGUAUCUUUCUACUUUGCUAAACAAAGCCUGUGCGUGUGCUCUUUUUGUAACAGAGUCCCCUUGCCAUUACGGGUUGUGUCCAAGGGGUGGCGUAGUUAGCAUUGCCAUAGCCCUUUAUGGGGGGCUACAU